UACGAAGGGGGCUAGCGUUGCUCGGAAUCACUGGGCGUAAAGGGUGCGUAGGCGGGUCUUUAAGUCAGAGGUGAAAUCCUGGAGCUCAACUCCAGAACUGCCUUUGAUACUGAGGAUCUUGAGUUCGGGAGAGGUGAGUGGAACUGCGAGUGUAGAGGUGAAAUUCGUAGAUAUUCGCAAGAACACCAGUGGCGAAGGCGGCUUACUGGCCCGAUACUGACGCUGAGGCACGAAAGCGUGGGGAGCAAACAGG
rnacentral:rRNA from 1 species